ensembl:snoRNA SCARNA10 small Cajal body-specific RNA 10
GCCACGUGAUGAUAUCAAGGCUGUUGUGAUUCAGUUGGUCGGACUAAGCCCGGGAUCAGGCCCCUGACGGUCUGUAAUCUUGGUGGGUGAUGCAGAGUUAUGUGCGUCCGCUGUAAGGGCAGACCAACAAGAACUUUUCCUACUUUCAAGCCAGCUCUUGUAGGGUCUUCUCCCAGGUGCCAGGGAGAAAUCGUGGUACCUGGAGUGAGAGUAGGAACAGGGCAUGUUCCAGGUUUCAAUUGGGGUCCAGGUCUCAAAGGGCUUAGCUCUCAUGGCCACUGAGAGAUGAAACACAGAUCUUUGGUAAUCUGAUGGCC